UCAUGCAAAAUAGCAUGGGUCGGAAAAUAGUAGCCAAACCGAGUCCAAAUUGAAUCAAAUGGGGGAACCGGACGCCGACGCGAGGUAUACGCCUCCCGGCACGGUGAUAGGUAAUAAACCAAACGCCGACUCCACGCCCUCCGCAUUCCUGCGAUCCUCCUCCCCUUCCCUGGCGGAUAAGAUCAUCUCUGCCCGAUCUCUCUCUCUCUCUCGCUCGCUCUCACAGGCGCUCUCGUCCCGCAAAAUUAGGGUUAGGGUUUCGGCCCCGCCUUCCCUUCUCUUUCCCCGUCCUAUGAGGCGAAUCGCUCCUUCGCAUUGACCUCCGCUUCGAGUUCAUCAUCGAUGGCGACCGCCGCGCCCCCGCCCUACCCCGACGAUCCCGCCGUCUGGUACGGAAGCAUCCAGUACCUCCUCAACAUCUCCGCCGCUGGCGCCGCCUCUUGCCUCCUCCUCUUCCUUCUCGUCAAGCUUCGGUCUGACCACCGCCGCUCCCCCGGCCUCUCCGCCCUAGCCUCCAAGCUCCUCGCCGUCUACCACGCCACCACCGCCCAGAUCGCCCUCCAUUGCGGCGCCGAUGCUGCUCAAUUCCUGCUCAUCGAGCGCGCUAGCUUCGCCAUCCUCCUCGCUGUCGCUCUCGUUGCCCUCUGCGCUGGGCUGCCACUCAAUCUCUGGGCCGGAUCGGCGCCCCUCGCUGAUCAGUUUGCUCGCACCACCAUCUCCCACAUCCGGCCAGGCUCGCCGCUGCUCUGGCUCCCCUUCCUUCUUGCGGCAAUCGUGGUCGCCAUUGCCCACGUUGGGAUCUCUCGGAUGGAAGAUGACCUCAGGAUCACUCGAUUCCGUGACGGGAACCGGCACCCUAGCGACCCCAAUUCGGGAUCGGUCUCGAUGUUCACCGUCAUGGUGCAGGGGAUCCCCAAAAGCCUAGCUGCCAAUAAAGCCCAGCUGGAGGAGUACUUUCAGCACCGCUAUCCAGGGAAGGUCUACCGGGUGAUCGUGCCUUUCGAUUUGUGCACCCUGGAAUAUCUUGCUGCGAAGUGGACGAAGGUCCAGAAUGAGAUCUCUUCCUUGGAAGCUCGUAUUGGAACCCCAAGCCUGUCCGAUGAUGACCUAUUCGGUAGCCAGCUUAAUCAGCAUCAACUAUGGAGGAGAGCCAAAGAGGCGUGGGCAAUGAUUGUUGUAAAGUUGGGCCUUACAAAGGAAGAGAGGCUGAAGAAAUUGCACGAUAUGAGGUCGGUGUUGCAAACCAAACUGUUGGAUUACAAGGAAGGGCGGGCACCGGGUGCUGGAAUUGCAUUCAUUGUUUUUAAGGAUGUUUACACCACCAACAAGGCUGUGAGGGAUUUAAGAACCGAGAGAAAGAGGAGACCUACUGGGCAGUUCUUCCCUGUGAUGGAACUCCAACUCGGACGGAACCGAUGGAGGGUAGAGAGGGCUCCGCCUGCGGUCGAUAUAUAUUGGAAUCAUUUGGGUUUGAGCAAGGUUUCACUGAGAAUGCGUAAGAUAGCUGUGAAUGGUUGCCUUCUUUUGAUGCUUCUCUUCUGCAGUUCACCUCUUGCAGUGAUUAAUGCGAUGAAGAGUGCUGCAAGGAUUAUCAAUGCUGAGGCUGUGGACAAUGCUCAGUUGUGGUUAACUUGGUUUGAAGGCUCGAGCUGGCUUGGGGCUGUUAUCCUUCAGUUCUUGCCUAAUGUCCUUAUAUUUGUGAGCAUGUACAUAAUAAUACCAUCUGCCCUGUCCUACCUUUCCAAGUUUGAAUGCCAUCUUACUGUUUCUAGGGAGCAAAGAGCUGCAUUGCUUAAAAUGGUUUGCUUCUUUUUGGUAAAUCUCAUUCUUCUGCGUGCAAUGGUUGAGUCGUCUCUGGAGGGUGCAAUACUUGGUAUGGGGAAAUGUUACUUGGAUGGAGAAGAUUGCAGGCGUAUCGAGCAGUACAUGAGUGCAUCAUUCCUUACAAGGUCAUGCCUCUCCUCUCUCGCUUUUCUGAUUACAAGCACUUUUCUGGGGAUAUCCUUUGAUCUCUUGGCUCCAGUACCCUGGAUAAAGAACAUACUGAAGAAAUUUCGGAAAAAUGACAUGGUUCAGCUAGUUCCUGAGGAAAAUGAUGGCUACCCACUUGAAGAGAAUGGCGAAGAAAACUAUCUAAGGAUGCCUCUUGUGUCAGAGAGAGAGGACACUUAUGGUUCAAAUGGGGUUGAGGAACAUGAUCUUUCUGUGUACCCUGUGAAUAGGAGCUUCCAUGUCCCAAAGCAGACAUUUGACUUUGCACAGUACUAUGCUUUCAACCUGACAAUCUUUGCGCUGACCAUGAUCUAUUCUUUGUUUGCCCCGCUUGUGGUUCCUGUUGGUGCUGUCUACUUUGGUUACCGCUAUGUGGUGGACAAGUACAACUUCUUGUUUGUGUACAGAGCUCGAGGCUUUCCAGCUGGUAAUGAUGGGAAGCUGAUGGACAGGGUAUUGUGUAUUAUGCAUUUCUGUGUGGUCUUGUUUCUUCUGUCGAUGUUACUAUUCUUCACUGUUCAGGGGGACUCUACAAAGCUGCAGGCUAUUUUCAUUCUUGGGUUGUUAUUAUGCUAUAAAAUGCUCCCUUCCAGAAUUGAUGGAUUUCAACCAUCUUUAUUAGAAGGAAUGCAGAACAUCGAUAGCUUUGUAGAUGGGAAAACUGACUAUGAGUUACUAAUGGACCUGAGAAGGUGACAAGGAAGCUGCCAGAAUUGUAGAUUCAAUCACCGUAAAUAUGAGGACAAAACAAUCUGUCAUGAAGGCAAACUGGAGAUAGAAAAAGAAAAUGUCAAUUGCAGAUUCCAUGUUCCAACCACCUGACUCACUGUUUAAGCUAUAAAUGAAGAAUUUGAAGGACGAGAUAGCUCUCAUAGCUAAAGCUAAACUUUGGCGACACAGAGAUGUUUCCUCAUUAGUGACGAGUUGUUUUGUCCCCAAGGACGGACAGUCAUGAAAAGUGCAUUUGUGUUGCUUGUGAGAUAGUGUCGGGAAGGUGUGGCUUAUAAUGGUGACAUAUCUGGAUCGAAUUGAACCACCACGAUACUGUAUACUUUACCCAUCUUCUGAUAAUUAAAGCUCUGAAACUGCUUUCAGAAUUUUCAGCCAUUACUAAACCUUUAGUCUCACGAUGUACUCAUUACACUGGAACAAUAAGCCGAUGCUGCGUGUGCAUUUGCAGAAAUUGAGUUUGCUUGUAGGCCUGAUUGGUUUUCUUUCUUUGACAUCAUCACUUCUAUUACAUAAUCCAACUUUACAUUGAUUUGAUA